rnacentral:lncRNA from 1 species
CCAGGGGUCUGUUGUUCAACUUGUCGUUAGGGCUAACGCGUCGUUAAAAUUUCUUAAUCAUUCGAUUAAAAUUAAUCAUAUGAUUAGUGUGUUGUUCAACUUGUCGUUAAUUUUAACGCUGCGUUAAAAAGGCUAAAACUGUCGUUAAACUUAAUCCACCUCUUUGAGGUGUAUUAAAUUUUAAUCAUAUGAUUAAAGCAUCCAAGAUGGCUGCUGUAUCAAUGCAAAAAUUAGUUUAUCCUCGAAAUAUGAGGCGUUUAAGAGAUAUUUAGCUCCUGGAAAGAGAUUUCAGCCAUAAAAUACCUUAAUAUUUGAAAGAAACACAAUAUAGUUGCUAGGAGUUGAGUUGAAACAUAAAUUGGAAAGAGAUUUGACAAGAUGGGGCUAAGGAUCGGACGCACUCAUACAACGGGCAUUUGAUAACAGAGAGAAAUUGCACAUUUCGGCAGUUUUUCGUUUGUAUUUUACCGCUCAGUGACAGUGUUGAUUGCAAAAAAACUAAACGUACGCUGAGACGGGCCACAUGUUAUUGUGCGGAACCAUUCAGCAAAUUAUGACGAACAGCUUUCAUAAAUAAAUAAUGUUACCAUAGCAUUAAUGUACAGGCCAUAAUUGAUUUUCAAAGCAAGUCUUUGCUAAUUUCCCCAUUUUCGAAGUUCAAAUAUUAGCACUUUCAGUUUCAGUAGCGCCCUUGACCUAGCUAGUCCUAACUGUUUACGCAGGUAAAUUAUGAUGGGUGAAUUCGUCCCCGUAUAUCUCGGACCUUACGAUUUUUAUCUUUACACGGAGUUUUUAAACAGUGUAUAUUGUUUUCCCAUUUAGUAAAGCUUAUGAGCUAUGAGGAUCCAAAUCAUGGGUGGAUCCAGCCAUUUUGGGGGUUCCAACGUAGCCCAGAUUAAAAGGGUUGUUUCAAACCUCACGUCGCCUUUCAAAAACUUUGAUUGUCAAAUAAAAGGGGGAUUCCAACCCCCGGACUCCCCCUUAGGCCUAGGAUCCGCAACUGCAAAUAUUUAUAAUGAAAAUAUACUGCCAUCAGUGUUUAAUAUUACUGAUUAGGUAUUAAGAGACUGAGUCAAUAAAAUGUCUCAUAUUUUUUAUCUGACACAAUAUACAAAAACAAGCACCUG